UGAAAGUUUUAUCCUGGCUUCGUGCUUCUUUUACUAAAUUUUAUAUAUGCAUUUUUUUGGGUUAGAUUUUAAUAGGGUAAUAUGUUAUUGUAUUAAUUGUGUUACUUAUUUGUGAAUAUGUUUUUGCAAUAUAUAAUUUUAUAUUUUAGUGUAAUCUAGAUUAUAGAAAUUUAGGUGAUAAAAGUCCGGCUAAAAACGUGCCAGCUGCCGCGGUUAGACGGGGGGACUAAAAGAAGGGAAAAAGAAUCUUGUAAGUUGGUUUAAUUGUAGUAUUUAGUGAAUUAUUUGAUAGUAAUAUUUUAUCAUUUGGGUGAAAUCUUUGAUAAUUUAUUUGGUCUAUAAUGUUAAUAUUAGUCUAUGAAAAUAUUAGUAUAAACUAGGAUUAGAUACCCUAUUAUUAAUAUUUUGAAUUUAAGCUUGGGUAGUAUUUGAUAUAUUCUUGAAACCCAAAGGAUUUGGCGGUGCUUUAAUCUCUCCAGAGGAACCUGUUUCGUAAUCGAUAUUCCACGCUUUAAUUUACCUAUAUGUAGUAUAUUCAGCUUGUAUACCGCCGUUAAUUGGAGUAAAUUUAUAAGUUUGCUUUUUAUCUAUAAUGGGAUAUAUUUCAGGUCAAGGUGCAGCUAAUCUUUAGGGGUUAUAAUGGGUUACAUUAUAUUGUAUUCGGGAUGUUAGUUUAAAUUGGGCAUUAAGUUGGAUUUGGUUGUAAUUUUGUUUUAGAAAAACAUUAUGAUGUUGGCUCUAUAGCAUGCACACAUCGCCCGUCACUCUCAUUUAUUUAGAUGAGAUAAGUCGUAACAUAGUAGGCGUAUCGGAAGAUGUGCCUAGUUAGUAGAAUUUUAUUAG
rnacentral:ncRNA from 1 species